UACGUAGGGUGCAGGCGUUAAUCGGAAUUACUGGGCGUAAAGCGUGCGCAGGCGGUCUUUUAAGUCAGAUGUGAAAUCCCCGGGCUUAACCUGGGAACUGCGUUUGAAACUGGAAGGCUAGAGUGUGGCAGAGGGGGGUGGAAUUCCGACGUGUAGCAGUGAAAUGCGUAGAGAUGUGGAGGAACACCGAUGGCGAAGGCAGCCCCCUGGGCUAAGCAUCGUGACGCUCAUGCACGAAAGCGUGGGGAGCGAAACAGG
rnacentral:rRNA from 1 species